rnacentral:rRNA from 1 species
AACGGAUAAAAGGUACUCCGGGGAUAACAGGCUGAUACCGCCCAAGAGUUCAUAUCGACGGCGGUGUUUGGCACCUCGAUGUCGGCUCAUCACAUCCUGGGGCUGAAGUAGAUCCCAAGGGUAUGGCUGUUCGCCAUUUAAAGUGGUACGCGAGCUGGGUUUAGAACGUCGUGAGACAGUUCGGUCCCUAUCUGCCGUGGGCGCUGGAGAACUGAGGGGGGCUGCUCCUAGUACGAGAGGACCGGAGUGGACGCAUCACUGGUGUUCGGGUUGUCAUGCCAAUGGCACUGCCCGGUAGCUAAAUGCGGAAGAGAUAAGUGCUGAAAGCAUCUAAGCACGAAACUUGCCCCGAGAUGAGUUCUCCCUGAGACUUUAAGUCUCCUGAAGGAACGUUGAAGACGACGACGUUGAUAGGCCGGGUGUGUAAGCGCAGCGAUGCGUUGAGCUAACCGGUACUAAUGAACCGUGAGGCUUAACCUUACAACGCCGAAG